rnacentral:lncRNA from 1 species
GCGUAUUUUAUCAGUAUUUUUCAGUGUACGCUAGUGUGUAUGUUACUACGUGCAGUUGGAGGGGAUAUCUGCGCUUGCGCGUACGGCGUGCGUGCGUGUUCCUCCAGUUUUUUUCGUCUUCUUUUAUAUGUUUCUUUACCGCGAUGGUAAGGGGGUUUCAGCGAUAGUGUGAAAACAAGCUAACUGUAUGUGUGUGCGUCUGGAAAGCAGUGAUGCUAUCGUGAAAAGCCCAGCUAGUAUGAAGAAACUACUAUGCGAAGCAUCAUCGCAACCGUUGCUCCAGCCCUUUAAACAACUAUUACCAGUUUCUAAAAUGCUUUUUAUCCGGUGACAUGGAGUUUUACCGCCCCAUCUAGCGAUCAUCAUCAUAAAGGUU